ensembl:snRNA U6 U6 spliceosomal RNA
GUGCUUGCUUUGGCAGCACAUACACUAAAAUUGGAAGCAUAUAGACAAGAUUAGCAUGGCCCCUGUGUAAGGAUGACAUGCAAAUUUGUAAAGUGUUCUACAUUCUU